CAAUAGGCGGCUCAUACGAUACGGCGGUUGCAAGUUUAAUACAUUCUAAUUCCUUUGCCAACGGGAAUCAAGAUAAACACUGGUGGAUAGUGAGCUGUUCGCUAAUAAACUAAAUGGAGGAAGAAACUAUUGCUCCAGAACUAUUGGAUAAUACCAGCAGAAACAGUCAUGCCAAGAAUUUGAUAGAUCAUAUUCUGGAUGACAGUGACAAUUGAAAGGAAAGAAAGCAGUACAAAUCUUCACUGGACAGUUUACUCAAUGUUCAUGGAUAUCAGGUUGUUGACCAUGGAAUGCUGACCGGUUAUCUGUGGAUGGAAACCUACCUGACCAUGGUUAUAUUUGACAAAUAUCCUGAGACAAAACCCAAGUGAAGAAAUUAAGCAAAAGAGAAAUGCUAGUUUCCUGAAAAUAGCAACACUCAUAUAUGAAUGAAAUCAGGCAAUCAUCUUAUGAAAAAUUAUCUACGAGAAAGCAGUUGAUCCAGAAAACCAAGUGGAAAAUAAAACAUUGGUGGCUGAAGUACAAAACAAAGAUGGGACAUGAAUAAGAGACAUUCAAAAUGGCAGUCAUAGAUGUCAACUGCAGUAACUUUGUAUUCCUCACUGUAAGAACUAAUUUAAAGGCGACAUUGUGAUGGAUGACUAAUGAGAACCUUCUAGGCAAUCAAGGUGAACUUGCAAAUGUAGUCUUUUUUUUUCAUAACAGUUUUUUUUAAUACCGAAUAUUUGUGCUGAAUGUUAAAAACCGGAGCGCCAGUAUGCGACAGUGCUAAAGGCGUGCAGUAUUUCUCAUUAUAUGCAGUAUUACUCAAAAACCAUAAA